rnacentral:lncRNA from 1 species
CAACCACUUUCUUCGCCUCUUCGGUGGCCUGUCUUGUCUCCUUGGCAGCCUACUUUACCUUUUUUGUAGCUCUUGCUUAGGCCUCGACUGCCUUCAACUUCUCUUCCAAUGAGAUCUUGGCUCAAUUAAAACCAACCAAGCCCUCACUAAGAACAGUAAUGUCAUGCGCCAGCUAUAUGAAAAAGCAAAAGUUAGAAAUC